ACACAUGUUCUAUGGCAGGGGGUAAAAUGGCACAUGGAGAAGCCACAAGAGUAAUCUUGUGGCCUAAUGGUUAGGAAACUUGAUAGAAACUCCGUAAGAGGGAGCCUUACUCCUUAAGAGAAUAAAGAGCUCACUGGGGGUGUGGUCAUCUCAAGUAACCACUGAACCCAGUGCAACAGAAAUAGGAACCCAGGAGCAAUAUCUAGCUAGUUGCAAGGAUAUGGGAGCAGGAAGUUUUUGGGAUCCAUUACAAAGGGAAUUUGGGAUUGACUGAGGUAAUGCUGGGAGUAGAGGGAGAAGAACAGA
rnacentral:lncRNA from 1 species